CGACGGCAGCGCGGGGCAACCUGGCGGCGAGUGGCGAACGGGUGAGUAAUAUAUCGGAACGUACCCUGGAGUGGGGGAUAACGUAGCGAAAGUUACGCUAAUACCGCAUACGAUCUAUGGAUGAAAGUGGGGGAUCGCAAGACCUCAUGCUCCUGGAGCGGCCGAUAUCCCAUUAGCUUGUUGGCGGGGUAACGGCCCACCAAGGCUACGAUGGGUAGCUGGUCUGAGAGGAUGAUCAGCCACACUGGAACUGAAACACGGUCCAGACUCCUACGGGAGGCAGCAGUGGGGAAUUUUGGACAAUGGGCGCAAGCCUGAUCCAGCAAUGCCGCGUGAGUGAAGAAGGCCUUCGGGUUGUAAAGCUCUUUUGUCAGGGAAGAAACGGUGGGGGCUAAUAUCCCCCGCUAAUGACGGUACCUGAAGAAUAAGCACCGGCUAACUACGUGCCAGCAGCCGCGGUAAUACGUAGGGUGCAAGCGUUAAUCGGAAUUACUGGGCGUAAAGCGUGCGCAGGCGGUUUUGUAAGUCUGUCGUGAAAUCCCCGGGCUCAACCUGGGAAUUGCGAUGGAGACUGCAAGGCUAGAGUUUGGCAGAGGGGGGUAGAAUUCCACGUGUAGCAGUGAAAUGCGUAGAUAUGUGGAGGAACACCGAUGGCGAAGGCAGCCCCCUGGGUCAAAACUGACGCUCAUGCACGAAAGCGUGGGGAGCAAACAGGAUUAGAUACCCUGGUAGUCCACGCCCUAAACGAUGUCUACUAGUUGUCGGGUCUUAAUUGACUUGGUAACGCAGCUAACGCGUGAAGUAGACCGCCUGGGGAGUACGGUCGC
rnacentral:rRNA from 1 species